rnacentral:lncRNA from 1 species
GUGAGGGGAUUUUGCAGAUAUAAUUAAGGUCCCAAAUCAGUUGACCCUGGGAUAGGGAGAUAAUCCACGUGGGUCAGAUUUAAUCAAAGGAGCUCUUUAAAAGCCGAACUUUUUCGCUGGCUGGUCACAGAAGAUGAAGUCAGAGAUACAAAGCAUGAGAAAUAUUUGACUUGCUGUUUCUAAAUUGAAGAUAAAGAAGGCUGCAUGGCAAGGAACGUGGGCAGCCUGUGGGAGCUAAGAAUGGUCCUGGUUGAUAGCAAGUAAGGAAACAGGACUUCAGGCCUACAACAGCAAAGAAGAUCAAUUCUUCCUACUCAAGAAUGAAUUUUUUCUCAGAUCCCCGACACGAGAGCUCAGCAUGGCUUACACCGUGAUUUCAGCCAGCCUUGUGAUAUUCUGAGUAGAGAACUUGGCCAUUCUGUGCUGGACUUCUGACCUACAGAACUCUUGGUGGUAGACAGCUGAAGCCUUACUGGCCUGAGGCAUCAGAGGACAGAAUCUGAAGCUGGAAGAGCAGCUAAAAUUUAAGAGAAGAACUCCCAAAAGCAACAUGAUCCUGGAGAGGAACCUUCUAGAAUCGGCUGUUUGCAGCUACCUCCCCCCUAAGACUGUGAGGGCAGGGACGGCGGCCUACUCAUAUUUGAAUUCCUAUGGCUUAGAUCACAUUCUCCGUGGUGACACCAUCAAACAUUCACUUCUCUCCUCAGACCUGGAUCUGGAAACACCCCACUCCUGCUCCCUCCACCCUCAGAAUCAUCCCAGAGACAAAGCACUUUCUCCACUUUUCAAAGAAAACAGAAACAAUCAGAGAGAGUCCUUCACCCUCUCUACCCUUUCUGUCAUCCCCACUUCCAAUCAUUCUCCAUUCUGUU